rnacentral:rRNA from 1 species
AUUGAACGCUGGCGGCAUGCCUUACACAUGCAAGUCGAACGGUAACAGGUCUUCGGAUGCUGACGAGUGGCGAACGGGUGAGUAAUACAUCGGAACGUGCCCGAGAGUGGGGGAUAACGAAGCGAAAGCUUUGCUAAUACCGCAUACGAUCUCAGGAUGAAAGCAGGGGACCGCAAGGCCUUGCGCCCACGGAGCGGCCGAUGGCAGAUUAGGAAGUUGGUGGGAUAAAAGCUUACCAAGCCGACGAUCUGUAGCUGGUCUGAGAGGACGACCAGCCACACUGGGACUGAGACACGGCCCAGACUCCUACGGGAGGCAGCAGUGGGGAAUUUUGGACAAUGGGCGCAAGCCUGAUCCAGCCAUGCCGCGUGCAGGAUGAAGGCCUUCGGGUUGUAAACUGCUUUUGUACGGAACGAAAAGACUCUGGUUAAUACCUGGGGUCCAUGACGGUACCGUAAGAAUAAGCACCGGCUAACUACGUGCCAGCAGCCGCAGUAACAC